GAUGAACGCUGGCGGCGUGCUUAAUACAUGCAAGUCGAGCGAACGGACGAGAAGCUUGCUCCUCUGAUGUUAGCGGCGGACGGGUGAGUAACACGUGGAUAACCUACCUAUAAGAAUGGGAUAACUUCGGGAAACCGGAGCUACUACCGGAUAAUAUUUUGAACCGCAUGGUUCAAAAGUGAAAGACGGUCUUGCUGUCACUUAUAGAUGGCCACGCGCUGCAUGAGCUAGUUGGUAAGGUAACGGCUUACCAAGGCAACGAUGGAUAGACGACCUGAGAGGGACGACGGACACACGGGAAGAGAGGAACAGCCGAGACACCGACAGGGAGCAGCAGUAGAGAAUCUUACGGGAGGCAGGAGUGCCGGAUAGUGGAACAUCGGGGAAAGGAUGAAGGUCUACUGAUGGGAGAGCGAUGUUGUUAGGAGAGUAGAAAAGUGUAAGUAACCGGGAUCAUAAUGACGGUACCUGGACAAAAAGCCACGGCUAACUACGUG
rnacentral:rRNA from 1 species